GACGAACGCUGGCGGCGUGCUUAACACAUGCAAGUCGAACGGAAAGGCCCUGCUUUUGUGGGGUGCUCGAGUGGCGAACGGGUGAGUAACACGUGAGUAACCUGCCCUUGACUUUGGGAUAACUUCAGGAAACUGGGGCUAAUACCAGAUAGGAGCUCCUGCUGCAUGGUGGGGGUUGGAAAGUUUCGGCGGUUGGGGAUGGACUCGCGGCUUAUCAGCUUGUUGGUGGGGUAGUGGCUUACCAAGGCUUUGACGGGUAGCCGGCCUGAGAGGGUGACCGGCCACAUUGGGACUGAGAUACGGCCCAGACUCCUACGGUAGGCAGCAGUGGGGAAUAUUGCACAAUGGGCGGAAGCCUGAUGCAGCAACGCCGCGUUCGGGAUGACGGCCUUCGGGUUGUAAACCGCUUUCGCCUGUGACGAAGCGUGAGUGACGGUAAUGGGUAAAGAAGCACCGGCUAACUACGUG
rnacentral:rRNA from 1 species